rnacentral:rRNA from 1 species
GAUGAACGCUGGCGGCGUGCCUAAUACAUGCAAGUCGAGCGAACGGACGAGAAGCUUGCUUCUCUGAUGUUAGCGGCGGACGGGUGAGUAACACGUGGAUAACCUACCUAUAAGACUGGGAUAACUUCGGGAAACCGGAGCUAAUACCGGAUAAUAUUUUGAACCGCAUGGUUCAAAAGUGAAAGACGGUCUUGCUGUCACUUAUAGAUGGAUCCGCGCUGCAUUAGCUAGUUGGUAAGGUAACGGCUUACCAAGGCAACGAUGCAUAGCCGACCUGAGAGGGUGAUCGGCCACACUGGAACUGAGACACGGUCCAGACUCCUACGGGAGGCAGCAGUAGGGAAUCUUCCGCAAUGGGCGAAAGCCUGACGGAGCAACGCCGCGUGAGUGAUGAAGGUCUUCGGAUCGUAAAACUCUGUUAUUAGGGAAGGACAUAUGUGUAAGUAACUGUGCACAUCUUGACGGUACCUAAUCAGAAAGCCACGGCUAACUACGUGCCAGCAGCCGCGGUAAUACGUAGGUGGCAAGCGUUAUCCGGAAUUAUUGGGCGUAAAGCGCGCGUAGGCGGUUUUUUAAGUCUGAUGUGAAAGCCCGCGGCUCAACCGUGGAGGGUCAUUGGAAACUGGAAAACUUGAGUGCAGAAGAGGAAAGUGGAAUUCCAUGUGUAGCGGUGAAAUGCGCAGAGAUAUGGAGGAACACCAGUGGCGAAGGCGACUUUCUGGUCUGUAACUGACGCUGAUGUGCGAAAGCGUGGGGAUCAAACAGGAUUAGAUACCCUGGUAGUCCACGCCGUAAACGAUGAGUGCUAAGUGUUAGGGGGUUUCCGCCCCUUAGUGCUGCAGCUAACGCAUUAAGCACUCCGCCUGGGGAGUACGACCGCAAGGUUGAAACUCAAAGGAAUUGACGGGGACCCGCACAAGCGGUGGAGCAUGUGGUUUAAUUCGAAGCAACGCGAAGAACCUUACCAAAUCUUGACAUCCUUUGACAACUCUAGAGAUAGAGCUUUCCCCUUCGGGGGACAAAGUGACAGGUGGUGCAUGGUUGUCGUCAGCUCGUGUCGUGAGAUGUUGGGUUAAGUCCCGCAACGAGCGCAACCCUUAAGCUUAGUUGCCAUCAUUAAGUUGGGCACUCUAAGUUGACUGCCGGUGACAAACCGGAGGAAGGUGGGGAUGACGUCAAAUCAUCAUGCCCCUUAUGAUUUGGGCUACACACGUGCUACAAUGGACAAUACAAAGGGCAGCGAAACCGCGAGGUCAAGCAAAUCCCAUAAAGUUGUUCUCAGUUCGGAUUGUAGUCUGCAACUCGACUAUAUGAAGCUGGAAUCGCUAGUAAUCGUAGAUCAGCAUGCUACGGUGAAUACGUUCCCGGGUCU